rnacentral:rRNA from 1 species
CGGGGUGCAGCAGGCGCGAAAACUUUACAAUGCUGGAAACAGCGAUAAGGGGACCUCGAGUGCCAGGUUACAAAUCUGGCUGUCGUGAUGCCUAAAAAGCAUUGCAUAGCAAGGGCCGGGCAAGACCGGUGCCAGCCGCCGCGGUAACACCGGCGGCUCGAGUGGUAACCGUUAUUAUUGGGUCUAAAGGGUCUGUAGCCGGCCGGAUAAGUCUCUUGGGAAAUCCAGCAGCUCAACUGUUGGGCUUUCAGGAGAUACUGUCUGGCUCGAGGCCGGGAGAGGUGAGAGGUACUUCAGGGGUAGGGGUGAAAUCUUGUAAUCCUUGAAGGACCACCAGUGGCGAAGGCGUCUCACCAGAACGGACCUGACGGCAAGGGACGAAAGCUAGGGGCACGAACCGGAUUAGAUACCCGGGUAGUCCUAGCCGUAAACGAUACUCGCUAGGUGUCGGCCACGGUGCGACCGUUGUCGGUGCCGUAGGGAAGCCGUGAAGCGAGCCACCUGGGAAGUACGGCCGCAAGGCUGAAACUUAAAGGAAUUGGCGGGG